GAUAUUGUAUGGCUUCAGAAGACUUACAACACAACUCAUAACACAUGAUUUGUGCACUCGUAUGAUACUUUUUAGGAUCUUUUCUUGGACAUUUUUGGAGCUUAGAAUAUUUAUCCAUUUUACAUAGAUUGAUGCAUUGAAUUGAAUGAGACUUGAAUUGAUUCAUGAAUGAUUUACAAUUAUUUUUUCUGUUUGUGUUUCAUGCAAUGAAAUUGAACGGUGACUGCAUUAUGCCUGAGAUCUGCUUUUGGGUUCCACAGACAGAGUCAAACAGGGAUCUUGGCCUAGUAUGCUGAAACAAAAAUCCUCCUGUAGACCUGAAAAUCAUUGAAGUGCCUGGAUCAUCCACCAGAAAAGAG